CCACAGGUGACAUUAUAUGGAACAGUCUUUGCGAGAAUGUCUCCGGAUAUGAAAACCAAACUCAUCAAAUCGCUACAAAAUCUUGACUACGUUGUGGGAAUGUGCGGUGACGGAGCCAAUGACUGCGGGGCUCUGAAGACAGCCCACGUGGGGAUCUCCCUGUCACAGCUGGAAGCCUCAGUCGCCUCACCUUUCACCUCCAAACUGCCAAACAUCGAGUGUGUCCCCAUCCUCAUCA